ensembl:lncRNA
CUUAACCAACAAUGCAGUUUUAAGAAAAUGAGUGUCAAGGGCUUGUAAGUAAGCAUUUCACUGUAAGGUUUACACAUGUUGUAAGUAAGCAUUUCACUGUAAGGUUUACACAUGUUGUAUUUGGCGCAUGUGAAAAAAAUAACAUUUGAUUUGACACAGGAGAGAGACACCUCACACUUGUUGCAGCUCCAUUCAAUAACCAGUUAUUAUUGCUCCUUUUACCAAGAAACAUUCAAACUCUGCGGGGACAAAAUGAAUCGAGAGGAGGGAGUGUUGAUGGAUGAAAUUGAAAAGAGUUUAUGGAAUUUGACUGAGGACAAUUUACGUUACCUGUGUGAACAUCAUGGACAUGAUGGAUCUGAACUUAAAGCAAUGGAUCACCGCUCGUUGCGGCGUAAAAUCAUGGAGGAAAUGUGGGACAAUACUGAUUCAAUUAAAUUAAAGGAGCAGGGAACGUCUUGGUUACACCAACUGAAAGAGGACAUCCGAAGGAUACUGGAGGAUGCUAGCAGUGCACCCUCGAGUCCCCUCCAGGCUGAGGAUGCGAGCAGUGAACCCUCGAGUCCCCUCCAGGCUGAGGAUGCUAGCAGUGCCCCCUCGAGUCCCCUCCAGGCUGAGGAUGCUGUAGACUGUGAUGAAGAGUGGAGCGGAGAGGGAGGGGCUGGGUUACCUAGCGACGGGUUGGAGGCGGAGUCCAUGAGUCCCAGACAAUCCAACGACGCUGCAGACUGG